AUGAUAUCAUUCAGGGAUAUGCUUGAAGUUUGCGGUCUGGUAGACUUGGGUUUUUCGGGUGUCCCUUUCACCUAUGACAAUAAGAGAAGUGGUGUGAAUAAUGUUAGGGUGAGGCUUGACAGAGCAUUGGCUACGAACGAAUGGAGGAAUCUAUUCUCUUUUGCCUCCGUGCACCAUAUUCUUAGCCCUUGUUCGGACCAUGUGGCGGUACUGCUCAAAGGCGAGGCGGAUGCCGGCCCGGCUGGGCCUAUACAGCGUCGGUACGAGAUCUUCUGGGAAAGGGACUCGACGUUGCCAGAGGUCAUCAAGAAUGCAUGGGAAUCUGUUGGAAACGUUCAAACAUUGGAGCAGCUUAGAGUGGCUCUAACCAAGACGAUGGUGUCUUUAGGUUCUUGGUGCAGGAAGUUCGAAAAAUGUAACAAAGGAAUUGGCUAG
rnacentral:rRNA from 1 species